rnacentral:rRNA from 1 species
AACGAACGCUGGCGGCAGGCCUAACACAUGCAAGUCGAGCGCCCCGCAAGGGGAGCGGCGGACGGGUGAGUAACGCGUGGGAACGUGCCUCUUGCUACGGAAUAGCCUCGGGAAACUGGGAGUAAUACCGUAUGUGCCCUACGGGGGAAAGAUUUAUCGGCAAGAGAGCGGCCCGCGUUGGAUUAGGUAGUUGGUGGGGUAAUGGCCUACCAAGCCGACGAUCCAUAGCUGGGUUGAGAGGAUGAUCAGCCACACUGGGACGGGGACACGGCCCAGACUCCUACGGGAGGCAGCAGUGGGGAAUCUUAGACAAUGGGCGCAAGCCUGAUCUAGCCAUGCCGCGUGAGCGAUGAAGGCCUUAGGGUUGUAAAGCUCUUUCAGUGGGGAAGAUAAUGACUGUACCCACAGAAGAAGCCCCGGCUAACUCCGUGCCAGCCGCCGCCGUAAGAC